GACGAGCGCUGGCGGCGUGCUUAACACAUGCAAGUCGAACGGAAAGGCCCUGCUUUUGUGGGGUGCUCGAGUGGCGAACGGGUGAGUAACACGUGAGUAACCUGCCCUUGACUUUGGGAUAACUUCAGGAAACUGGGGCUAAUACCGGAUAGGAGCUCCUGCUGCAUGGUGGGGGUUGGAAAGUUUCGGCGGUUGGGGAUGGACUCGCGGCUUAUCAGCUUGUUGGUGGGGUAGUGGCUUACCAAGGCUUUGACGGGUAGCCGGCCUGAGAGGGUGACCGGCCACAUUGGGACUGAGAUACGGCCCAGACUCCUACGGGAGGCAGCAGUGGGGAAUAUUGCACAAUGGGCGGAGGCCUGAUGCAGCAACGCCGCGUGCGGGAUGACGGCCUUCGGGUUGUAAACCGCUUUCGCCUGUGACGAAGCGUGAGUGACGGUAAUGGGUAAAGAAGCACCGGCUAACUACGUG
rnacentral:rRNA from 1 species